GCCGAUGUAGCUCAGUUGGUAGAGCAACGCAUUCGUAACGCGUAGGUCCCGAGUUCGAAUCUCGGCAUCGGCU
rnacentral:tRNA from 3 species